UUGGCAUAAUGAGGAAAGAAUAUAUUUGUGUCUGAUCUGCUAGAUGAGAAAUUCCUCCUACUCAUUCUGA
rnacentral:snoRNA from 2 species